UACAGAGGUCUCAAGCGUUGUUCGGAUUCAUUGGGCGUAAAGGGCGCGUAGCGGCCGUGACAAGUCACUUGUGAAAUCUCUGGGCUUAACCCAGAACGGCCAAGUGAUACUGUCGCGCUAGAGUGCGGAAGGGGCAAUCGGAAUUCUCGGUGUAGCGGUGAAAUGCGUAGAUAUCGAGAGGAACACCUGAGGUGAAGACGGGUGCUGGGCCGACACUGACGCUGAGUGCGCGAAAGCCAGGGAGCAAACGGG
rnacentral:rRNA from 1 species